rnacentral:rRNA from 1 species
UACGUAGGGGGCAAGCGUUAUCCGGAUUUAUUGGGCGUAAAGGGUGUGCAGGCGGUUUGCCAAGUUCGUGGCGACAGCCAUCGGCUUAACCGAUGGAGGACUGCGAAAACUGACAGGCUUGAGAGCGAGAGAGGGACAUGGAACUCCGGGUGGGAGCGGUGACAUGUGUAGAGAUCCGGAAGAACAUCAAAGGCGAAGGCUGUGUCCCGGCUCGUUCUGACGCUCAAGCACGAAAGCUAGGGAGCAAACAGG